rnacentral:rRNA from 1 species
UUAAGUUAUUAAGGGCGCACGGUGGAUGCCUUGGCACUAGAAGCCGAUGAAGGACGUUACUAACGACGAUAUGCUUUGGGGAGCUGUAAGUAAGCUUUGAUCCAGAGAUUUCCGAAUGGGGAAACCCAGCAUGAGUUAUGUCAUGUUAUCGAUAUGUGAAUACAUAGCAUAUCAGAAGGCACACCCGGAGAACUGAAACAUCUUAGUACCCGGAGGAAGAGAAAGAAAAUUCGAUUCCCUUAGUAGCGGCGAGCGAAACGGGAAGAGCCCAAACCAACAAGCUUGCUUGUUGGGGUUGUAGGACACUCUGUACGGAGUUACAAAGGACGACAUUAGACGAAUCAUCUGGAAAGAUGAAUCAAAGAAGGUAAUAAUCCUGUAGUCGAAAAUGUUGUCUCUCUUGAGUGGAUCCUGAGUACGACGGAGCACGUGAAAUUCCGUCGGAAUCUGGGAGGACCAUCUCCUAAGGCUAAAUACUCUCUAGUGACCGAUAGUGAACCAGUACCGUGAGGGAAAGGUGAAAAGCACCCCGGAAGGGGAGUGAAAUAGAACCUGAAACCGUGUGCUUACAAGUAGUCAGAGCCCGUUAAUGGGUGAUGGCGUGCCUUUUGUAGAAUGAACCGGCGAGUUACGAUUUGAUGCAAGGUUAAGCAGUAAAUGUGGAGCCGUAGCGAAAGCGAGUCUGAAUAGGGCGUUUAGUAUUUGGUCGUAGACCCGAAACCAGGUGAUCUACCCUUGGUCAGGUUGAAGUUCAGGUAACACUGAAUGGAGGACCGAACCGACUUACGUUGAAAAGUGAGCGGAUGAACUGAGGGUAGCGGAGAAAUUCCAAUCGAACCUGGAGAUAGCUGGUUCUCUCCGAAAUAGCUUUAGGGCUAGCCUCAAGUGAUGAUUAUUGGAGGUAGAGCACUGUUUGGACGAGGGGCCCCUCUCGGGUUACCGAAUUCAGACAAACUCCGAAUGCCAAUUAAUUUAACUUGGGAGUCAGAACAUGGGUGAUAAGGUCCGUGUUCGAAAGGGAAACAGCCCAGACCACCAGCUAAGGUCCCAAAAUAUAUGUUAAGUGGAAAAGGAUGUGGCGUUGCCCAGACAACUAGGAUGUUGGCUUAGAAGCAGCCAUCAUUUAAAGAGUGCGUAAUAGCUCACUAGUCGAGUGACACUGCGCCGAAAAUGUACCGGGGCUAAACAUAUUACCGAAGCUGUGGAUUGUCCUUUGGACAAUGGUAGGAGAGCGUUCUAAGGGCGUUGAAGCAUGAUCGUAAGGACAUGUGGAGCGCUUAGAAGUGAGAAUGCCGGUGUGAGUAGCGAAAGACGGGUGAGAAUCCCGUCCACCGAUUGACUAAGGUUUCCAGAGGAAGGCUCGUCCGCUCUGGGUUAGUCGGGUCCUAAGCUGAGGCCGACAGGCGUAGGCGAUGGAUAACAGGUUGAUAUUCCUGUACCACCUAUAAUCGUUUUAAUCGAUGGGGGGACGCAGUAGGAUAGGCGAAGCGUGCGAUUGGAUUGCACGUCUAAGCAGUAAGGCUGAGUAUUAGGCAAAUCCGGUACUCGUUAAGGCUGAGCUGUGAUGGGGAGAAGACAUUGNNNNNNNNNNNNNNNNNNNNNNNNNNNNNNNNNNNNNNNNNNNNNNNNNNNNNNNNNNNNNNNNNNNNNNNNNNNNNNNNNNNNNNNNNNNNNNNNNNNNNNNNNNNNNNNNNNNNNNGUCUUCGAGUCGUUGAUUUCACACUGCCGAGAAAAGCCUCUAGAUAGAAAAUAGGUGCCCGUACCGCAAACCGACACAGGUAGUCAAGAUGAGAAUUCUAAGGUGAGCGAGCGAACUCUCGUUAAGGAACUCGGCAAAAUGACCCCGUAACUUCGGGAGAAGGGGUGCUCUUUAGGGUUAACGCCCAGAAGAGCCGCAGUGAAUAGGCCCAAGCGACUGUUUAUCAAAAACACAGGUCUCUGCUAAACCGUAAGGUGAUGUAUAGGGGCUGACGCCUGCCCGGUGCUGGAAGGUUAAGAGGAGUGGUUAGCUUCUGCGAAGCUACGAAUCGAAGCCCCAGUAAACGGCGGCCGUAACUAUAACGGUCCUAAGGUAGCGAAAUUCCUUGUCGGGUAAGUUCCGACCCGCACGAAAGGCGUAACGAUUUGGGCACUGUCUCAACGAGAGACUCGGUGAAAUCAUAGUACCUGUGAAGAUGCAGGUUACCCGCGACAGGACGGAAAGACCCCGUGGAGCUUUACUGUAGCCUGAUAUUGAAAUUCGGCACAGCUUGUACAGGAUAGGUAGGAGCCUUUGAAACGUGAGCGCUAGCUUACGUGGAGGCGCUGGUGGGAUACUACCCUAGCUGUGUUGGCUUUCUAACCCGCACCACUUAUCGUGGUGGGAGACAGUGUCAGGCGGGCAGUUUGACUGGGGCGGUCGCCUCCUAAAAGGUAACGGAGGCGCUCAAAGGUUCCCUCAGAAUGGUUGGAAAUCAUUCAUAGAGUGUAAAGGCAUAAGGGAGCUUGACUGCGAGACCUACAAGUCGAGCAGGGUCGAAAGACGGACUUAGUGAUCCGGUGGUUCCGCAUGGAAGGGCCAUCGCUCAACGGAUAAAAGCUACCCCGGGGAUAACAGGCUUAUCUCCCCCAAGAGUUCACAUCGACGGGGAGGUUUGGCACCUCGAUGUCGGCUCAUCGCAUCCUGGGGCUGUAGUCGGUCCCAAGGGUUGGGCUGUUCGCCCAUUAAAGCGGUACGCGAGCUGGGUUCAGAACGUCGUGAGACAGUUCGGUCCCUAUCCGUCGUGGGCGUAGGAAAUUUGAGAGGAGCUGUCCUUAGUACGAGAGGACCGGGAUGGACAUACCUCUGGUGUACCAGUUGUCGUGCCAACGGCAUAGCUGGGUAGCUAUGUGUGGACGGGAUAAGUGCUGAAAGCAUCUAAGCAUGAAGCCCCCCUCAAGAUGAGAUUUCCCAACUUCGGUUAUAAGAUCCCUCAAAGAUGAUGAGGUUAAUAGGUUCGAGGUGGAAGCAUGGUGACAUGUGGAGCUGACGAAUACUAAUCGAUCGAAGACUUAAUCAA